GCAGGGGAAGGCCACGCUCAUGUGCCUGGCCAACAAGGGCUUCCCCUCAGACUGGAGUCUGGCCUGGAAGGUGGACGGCAGCAGCAGCAGCAGCAGCAGCAGCAGCUGGGAGGAGAGCAGGAGCCCCGGGGUGCUGCAGAAGGACGGCCACUACAGCUGGAGCAGCACCCUGAGGCUCUCUGCAGACCAGUGGAGGAAGGUGGGCUCUGUGACCUGUGAGGCCACCCAGGGCUCCCAGACUCCGCUCUCAGAGACACUGAGGAGAGACCAGUGUUCCCAGUCCUGACCUGACUCACUGGGACUCUGCUACUGGUUUUCCUCUGCUCCUGCUCUCACUCUGCACUCUGGAACUGUCUCUCUCUUUUAUUUGACAUCUUUCAACAGCAAGAUUUACUAGCUUGUUGCACUGUUUCAAUAUUAUUUCAGUGUUUCCAGAUAAUAAAGACCUUUUCAUCCAA